rnacentral:rRNA from 1 species
UACAGAGGUCUCAAGCGUUGUUCGGAUUCAUUGGGCGUAAAGGGUGCGUAGGCGGCGCGGUAAGUCGGGUGUGAAAUCUCGGGGCUUAACUCCGAAACUGCAUUCGAUACUGCCGUGCUUGAGGACUGGAGAGGAGACUGGAAUUUACGGUGUAGCGGUGAAAUGCGUAGAUAUCGGAAGGAACACCUGUGGCGAAGGCGCCGCUCUGGGCCGACACUGACGCUGAGGAGCGAAAGCGUGGGUAGCAAACAGG